rnacentral:tRNA from 1 species
GGCUCAGUAGCUCAGUUGGUAGAGAAAUGGACUGAAAAUCCAUGUGUCGGCGGUUCGAUUCCGUCCUGAGCCA